rnacentral:rRNA from 1 species
GGUCUGGCUGGCGGGUCCGCCUCACCGCGUGCACUUGUCCGGCCGGGCCUUUCCUUCUGGAGAACCUCAUGCCCUUCACUGGGCGUGCUGGGGAACCAGGACUGUUACUUUGAAAAAAUUAGAGUGUUUAAAGCAGGCUCGCGCUUGAAUACAUUAGCAUGGAAUAAUGAAAUAGGACGU